rnacentral:misc_RNA from 1 species
GAUGAAGAACGUAGCGAAAUGCGAUAAGUAAUGCGAAUUGCAGAAUUCAGUGAAUCAUCGAAUCUUUGAACGCACAUUGCGCCCGCCAGUAUUCUGGCGGGCAUGCCUGUUCGAGCGUCAUUACAACCCUCAGGCCCCCGGGCCUGGCGUUGGGGAUCGGCGGAGCCCCCCGUGGGCACACGCCGUCCCCCAAAUGCAGUGGCGGUCCCGCCGCAGCUUCCAUCGCGUAGUAGCUAACACCUCGCGACUGGAGAGCGGCGCGGCCACGCCGUAAAACACCCAACUCUUCUGAAGUUGACCUCGAAUCAGGUAGGAAUACCCGCUGAACUUAAGCAUAUCAAUAAGCGGAGGA